UACGUAGGGAGCAAGCGUUGUUCGGAUUUACUGGGCGUAAAGGGCGCGUAGGCGGCAAUUCAAGUCAUCUGUGAAAUCUCCGGGCUUAACUCGGAACGGUCAGAUGAUACUGCUUUGCUAGAGUGCGGAAGGGGCAAUCGGAAUUCUCGGUGUAGCGGUGAAAUGCGUAGAUAUCGAGAGGAACACCAGAGGUGAAGACGGGUUGCUGGGCCGACACUGACGCUGACAGCGCGAAAGCCAGGGGAGCAAACGGG
rnacentral:rRNA from 1 species